rnacentral:piRNA from 1 species
ACCGGAUAUGACUGGCUUUCGGGUGAG